CCUACGGGCGGCAGCAGUGGGGAAUAUUGCACAAUGGGGGAAACCCUGAUGCAGCGACGCCGCGUGAGUGAAGAAGGAUUUCGGUAUGUAAAGCUCUAUCAGCAGGGAAGAAGAAAGACGGGACCUGACGAAGAAGCCCAGGCUAACUACGUGCCAGCAGCCGCGGUAAUACGUAGGGGGCAAGCGUGAUCCGGAUUUACUGGGUGUAAAGGGAGCGUAGACGGCUGUUCCAGUCUGAAGUGAAAGCCCAGGGCUCAACCCGGGGACUGCUUUGGAAACUGUGGAGCUAGAGUGCUGGAGAGGUAAGUGGCAUUCCUAGUGUAGCGGUUACAUUCGUAGAUAUUAGGCGGAACCCCAGUGGC
rnacentral:rRNA from 1 species